UUGGACAGGGGGGGCGUCGGCCCACUACCUUGCCUUGAGGGCUGUAAGCACAUUUAUUUUGUGUUUUAAGGGUAUUUUACGAGAAGACAAAUGGCCGACACCAGCGUAGUACGACACGAACAUUAGAAAAGAUGCGGAAUCCAGCCGGCAUUUGUGUAAUGGCCUGGGCGCAACCGGCCAUGGGCGGAACCAGGCGUCGAAGGUUCAACCUCAUCGUCUUCGAGAAAGUUUGAGAACUACGUAGUAGCCACUCUCGAAGCACGAGGGGGACAGCGAAAAAGGAGACACGACACGACAGCGUUUCACAGAACCCUUCUCAUGACCAACAAGCACGCAGUAUCACCCACGGCGACUUCUGUGAAAGCCGCAGCUCGGAGGCGCACAUUCCCGUGGCUCGUGGUUCGAACUACUCGGGAAUGGACAGGCGGGUCAAGCUAUGUUUCCCAGCAGACGCGGACGACUUCCCCAUGGAUCAUGGUUCGACCAGUUGGAGGACGAACAGCCGGGCCAAGUUCAGUUUCCCAGAUGACAAGAACCAACCGCAUGAGUUCGACAUGGUCGUGUCCUGCACGCAUCUGUCGGGUGAAGACGACUCUGGCCUUUCAUGUGUCAUCACCGGGCCAAGGGUCUGGGCAACACUGUGGCCUACUGUACGAGCCAGGACGGCAAGGACAUUCCCGUGGGUCGUGGUUCGAACAAGCCUGAGACGGACAGCCGGGUCAAGACGACUUCCCUGUGGGUCAUGGUUCGAACAGUGGGGCGACGAACAGCCGGGCCAAGUUCCUUUUCCCAGGUGACAAGAUCAACAUGGUGAUCAGGCCUUCUAGCACGAUGGUGUCUGACAGCCCGCCUUCCGAACCUGGUGGCCAACUGUUCUAGAAGCCUGGUGUCUUGAUCCCUGCCCUGCCGAACUGGGGGACAGCUGACAUAGCGAAGUGGUAACUCUAUACCCGCCCGGUUGGCCUAGUGUCCAGCUGUUCUAGUAGCCUUGCGCCUUUGAUGUCCUUCCUGCGGAGCCAUGGUGGCCGACUGAUCUACAGACGUGCCCUGUGGAUAUGGUGGCCGUCUGAUCUAGCGACCCACCCUUCGGACCUGGUGGUCAACCAUUCUGGGAGCCUGGUGUCUUGAUGUGUGCCCCUCGGAUCAGCUGACUUACGGACGUGAUAUCUCCAUGCCCACCCUACUGGCCUGGUGGCCAGCUGUUCUAGAGGUCUGGUGUCUUGAAACCCACCCUGUGGAUCUGGUCGCCAGCUGACCUAGCGACUUAGUACCUGGCUGGCCACCCUUCUUACCUGGUGGCCAGGUGUUCUUGUCGUCUCCUAGUCUGUUGAUCAGAAGACCACGCAUGCAUUAAGCAACCACAGAUAUAAAAUUUGGCGAAAUUAUGCUAUGUAGGCUGUCCUAUCGGGGUUGACAUGCAUGCACAUGUACAACGGCUACUGCCUAUGCCCGGAACACAUCACAGAAAGAGACUACACCGAGCCGGCGAAUACAGGACUUGUGGUCGGCUCUGCCGACUGUUGGAGUGGAAGUUCGGUCCUUGAUUGAUGAAGAAACCACUUCACAGGGCACGGCGCAGGUGUCAUUAGCAUGGCGAGCGCUGUCUUGUGCACGUAAUUUGCUACGGCGUCUGGGGCCAUGUGACGUUGCGCAGGAAAAUUUGCUCCGCCUGCGCGAAAAACCCCAUGCUUGUUCUGCAUCGCCGCAGCAAGGCAAAAAGUGGAAAAUAUAUUCACCAGAGAUUACAGGUGUCAUCAAUUGACUGAAAAAUUAUAGACAAAGAUAUCCAAAUGUACUAAGUUAAAGAGCUGCCGAAAGAUUACCACGGGGGAAGCAGUAGAGAAAUCGAUGCAUCAUGUGAGCAGAGUUCUACCAACGCUUCCGGAGCCAAAUGGCUCUCCAUUAUCGCAAGAGGAAGAGAAGGACAUGAAGAAAUGCUUUCUGGAGUAAUUUGGCGUGGUCGUGCAGUUGUGCGGUGUGACCACUGUACUGAAAAUAAGCUAGAAAGCAAUCUACUAUAUCAAAUCUUUUGCUCUGAUAAGGGUCACGCAGACUGCUGCAGCAGUUCUGCUAUGCCUGGCGUUUGCUGCACAUAAAUGACAUUAAUCUGGAUCUCAAAAAACCUUGAGAGAAAGUCCACGGCAAAAAAAGCUCCACAAGCUUGAAAAUUAGGAAACGUUUUCUGAUAUCUUAUUUUUGUAAUUACGAUAUGUCAUAGUGUGGUCUCCUGACCAUUCUAUCUUUACAAAAUAUUUCGGCAUAUUUACAUAUUUCCAUAAACAUUUUGCAGCGUAUUCUUUGAGAAGUGAACCAUUGUUCCCACACUUGAACCUUCCUCUUUAAUGCAUAUUAGAUAGCUACCAUACACGCAUCUUUGGAUACUAGAAUCUUCCUGAUCUUACCUAAAUAAAGAUGUGCAGGUAUUAAUGUUGCUAAUUAAUGUUAAUGAACAUUUCGGCAAAGCCACGAGUAAUCGUACUAAGCAAAGAAAGCAUGCUGUGCCAUAAAUGGGUGUUGAGCCAAGUUGAAAUGCUCUCACCUCUUUAUUGUAUGGACAUCGAAAUUGUCAUGACGGAUGACCUCCAGCCAAUAAUUAAACUCGUAACUUAGCUGUGAAACCUUUGUCAUGCUUCAAACAGGUCGCACGAAACUGAGCUUAUGGGCUCUGGGAAAGAAAGUGCACAAUGUACAUUCAGCGUUCAGCCAGGUCAUAGAAGGCAUAAGAAGGAAAGUUGUUCUGAGCAGGCUGCCUUGAUGCAUUUAAUGCAGCCGAUUUGAGUUACCUUUAAGGACAUUUCUCCAUGUCCCGAAGCUACGCGUUCAAUAAUACCUUUGUGCAUCACGCUGUCCUGGCGCAGCCUCCUCUGACGAUCAACCGCCGAUUGACACAUGCUUCUCCUGCAUUUACUGUUUCUCGACAAGAAAGCUCAGUGCUAUUUGUUGUUACUGUUCUCGAAAUGUACCAUUUAUACCUAGAUGAUGAUAGAAUAGACGAAGUGCAUUAAACAUUUUAAGAAACGUCUGCAAUAUGCUAGUGAAGAAUUUCUUAAUGACACGUUGUUCGCAAUGUUCGAUAAGAAUGAAACUUUGGUGGUAUUAAAUUUUGUACCGUGAAACAAAUCCAAACAUGAAAAAAUAGCUAUAAACGUUUUCGAUAUAGUUUGCUUAAUAUUUAUCGGCACAUUAGCGCAAUGACAGCUGUAGAAUAUUUACUAGGUAUGGAAUGUUUUUUGGACUAGAAUGUACACUCGCUCUAUGGAAUAGAAAAGGAAGUCUAUACUGGUACGCGAAAAAUUUGGACCUGCAGCUCUUGAUAAUCUUGUCAUUAUUCACAAAUAACUGUAUCGACAAAAAUUAUUCAGUAGAGUUGUGUUGUGCACAGCAAACUAACAUGGCAUCUGUAGUAAUUUACUCUCUGAGAUAUUGUAGGAAGCUCCCUUAUGCAAGUGUGAUCGUAGUACAGAAUGCGCCCGUUUGCAGUGAAUAAUGCGAUACUCAACUGUAUAUUAUUGUGUGGUGUAUAGAGUACCUUGCUGUGCGAUAGGUUGCUAAUAAAAACAGUGAAUAAAUCAUUUUUCAGCGUACUUAUGUUUUACCUAAACUAAAUAGCCAGGCGUCAUGGCGUGCUGGCUCGCGAAUCUCGAACAGAGAAAGAUACAUUUUUACACAGAUGCGCUGCACACAUGUUGUGAUUACAAGAAAAUUAGAAGCCGAGGGGUGCUGAAAACAAGGUCUGAAAGAGGAAAGCAAUCUGAAAAAAUAAAUGCAAGUGGUGUUGGUUUCCGUUGACGCCUGCAGACGGCAAGCGGGAUGGCGUUUCUCCCUCGCGCAUAAACAAAACCGUUGCCAUCACCGCAUGCUUCAAUUUUUCUUUUCUUUUUAUUGUCGCUCAGAGUUUGACCUCCUAAGCACCGGGGGACAAAAUGGCGCUCAUUA